AGACGCACUAAGUUAGUUAGAAACAAGUGGAGAAAAGAGAACUUGUUAGAAGAAACUGCCCCAUUAGCUGAAAGUGAUCCAAAGUGUUAUUAGAAACUUGUAAACUGUCUUAGAGUGUAAUUUUCUCUUGUAAUAAUGUGACGUGAUUUUUGUGUGGUUGCAAAGCGAAUGCACAACAACCAAAGCUCUUUGUGGAAUGAUUCUGAUUCUCAUCUUUGCUAAAGCACUUUCGCUCUACGGUCUUAUUGUUGAUAUCAUCCUCUGUUCUCGUGCUGGUCAGGCUAGAGUCGAGAUAACUCUGAAAGUGUUUUAAUGUUUUUGAUAUUUUUCAAUUUCAAUAUUCGUGGAAUUGUGAGCUUUGAGUUCUCAUGAAUAGCAAGCAGAAAAAUCAUUUGAUUUUGGUUUAAAACAUCAAACCAUAAUUCAAUUAUGUAAAUAUAAUAGAAUUACAAUAUCAUUAAACAAAACAAAACUUGAUUGAAAAUUAACAAAAAAAGACAUAAUUAAUUUGUAACAAAAUAAUAGUUAUUCAGUCCUCGAUUUUAACUCUUGCACCAAUCAAGGCAAAUUGCAAUACCCACGAGAAUGAUGAGUAGCACAACGAACGCGGCAAUGGCUAAUAAUGGGAUGAAAGUUGGAUUCAUUUUCUACUUUUUUUUCGUUCACCAAACUUUUCAGUCUUUAUAAGUUUUCUUCUCUUUUUCGUUUUACCUAGCAAUCAAUUAUAUACAUAUAUAUAUAUACACAUAUAUUGUUGAUUCUGAAUUUACAUUUUUGUGGGUAAGUCACAGAAUUUUGAAAAGUUUGGAUUUCUUAUAAAGAAUUGGUAAAAAUUGGAAAUAUUUUGUUAGAAAACAAAGUACAUGGAAAUUUUCUGUAUUGAUUCUUAGGUCUAAAAUCCUUCUAUUUUAACAAAGGCUUUUAUCUUAAAAUAUAGAUACACAUAAUAUAGGAUCAUAUCCAAUCAUAACUAAUGUAGAUAUAUACAUAUCUCAAUACCCUCUAUCAAGUUGGAGAGUGUAAGUUUCUAUCUCCAACAUGAUAAGAAAUACUGAAAAUUCUUUCUUACCAAGUGCCUUCGUCAAAAAUAUUUGCAUGUUGCUUCUUUUUCGAAACAUGUUUUGUUGUAACAAAACUUCUCACGAUCUCAUCCCUUAGACAUUAUUUAAAAAGUGAUUUAUCAUGUGUCAUCAUCACAUUUAUUUUGAAAAAAAAAUUAUGACAUAGAAUACUAACAAUGCUAACAUGACUUGAAGUUAAUUGUGUCAUGAACAUUUACAUUUAAUGUUGAUUUCUAUUUUCUGUAAAGUUUUUGAAAUACUACUCAUAGAUCAUCAUUAAUAGUAGAAAUAUAAAUAAAUAAUAUUUAAAUUUUUUUAAAAUAUUCUUUUAUUUUAUUUUUUUAAAUUUAUAUCAUCUUUUUUACUAAUUUUUUUUUCAAAAUUUAUGCAGUUCUUUUUAAAUGGUCAUUUUCUAAUCUCAAUACCAUAAGUUUUUUUAAUAUCUAAAUUUGUUUAGAAAUAUUAUUGAGUAAAAACUUUUCAAAAUUAUAUAUAUAUAGAGAGAGAGAGAUAUAUUAUUAAAUAUUUUUGUAAAUAUUAUUAAAUAUUAUUAAAAUAAAGCAAAUAAUAAAAUCUAAAAUUAUCGAAAUGUUCUUUUAAAAUAUAAUUUAAAUUCUAAAAGUGGUGCAUGAAAACACCUAAUCUCCUAUCAAAUGUUACUUAAUUCCAACAUGCUUUGUCCUUUUAUGGAAAAUGGGAUUAGCUGCUCAUAUGAAUAGCCGAAGUGUUAUCACAAUGAAUCUUAAUUGGUUUGUGUUUGUCAAAACACACGCCAAAUGUAGUCAGUAGACUCUUCAACCAAAUCAUCACUUUAAUUGUAUCCGACAUUGCUUUCUAUUCUGCCUCCGUCUACGAGCGAAAGUCUAUGUCUUGUGUUGAAUGUUUUCCAAGAAACCAAUGACCCAACUAACUGAAUAAACCAUGCCGUUUAAAACAUUUUCGUGUGAUGGAAAAGGCUCCUCAAUCUGCAUCACACCAAGCACUCAAAGUCAAAGUCUGCAUUGCCUUAAGUAACAUUCUUUGUCUUGGGUUCCAUAUCAUAUAUCCUACCACACAAAUGGCUGCAUCCCAAUGCUCCUGUUCCGGAGCUUACAUAAAUUUGGAAAGAGUACAAAUUGCUUACGGCAACUCAGGUCUAGUAUAUAUAAUAGGGCAAUUUUCUCAGAUAGUCAUUUUUAAGUUUUUGUCACAAAAUAACAAUCAAACAAGAAAAUGACCAAUAUAGCAUUUUUAUUUUGAAAUUUUUAAUAUUUAUUUUUUAUUUUUAUAAAUUUAAAAUUCUAUCUCCAAAAUUUCACCUUUUAACUCUAAACUUUAAGUUCAGAUUAGUUAACCCUAAAAUAAAAAUACAUGUUUAUUUUUUAAUAAAACUUAUUUUGGUCAUUUUCUUCAUUGAAGGUUAUUUUAAUGGCAAAAACUUAAAAUGCUAUCCUUGAAAAUUUCUCUAUAUAAUAUUAAUAAAAAACAAUUACCUAACUGUUUUAAUGAAAUUUAUAUUGUCUGACAAGGUUACUUUUGCUUUCAUGUGUCAAAAGAUCGAGUAUUUUCGUUAGGCAUGAGCAUUCGGAUAACCGGUUCAGAUCGGAUCGGGUUUUUCAGAUUUUGGAUAUUUCGAAACUAGAGAAAUUGGUACCUAUCGGAUAAUUUAAAAUUUGGUUCUGAUACGGUUCGGUACCUGCCGGAUCCGGUUACAUCUAAAGUAACCAAAAAAUUAACGGAUUCGAUCCGGUUCUUUACCAAACCAUUUAAUUCGAUAGAACCGAAUAUAAUCCAAAAGAACCAAAAAUAUUCUAAAUAUCCGAAAAACAUAAACAAGAGUUAAAAGAUAACUAAAAUUAUAAUACGAUAACAUAACAUAACCAUUUUAAUAUAACCAAAGCAAAGAUUAAUCUCCAAAAUGAAAACAAACAUAAUAGAUUUCUAAGGUUAUCUUAAUUAAGGUUUAAUUCAGGUCUUUCGGAUAUCCAUACGGAUCCCCGAUAUACAUGUAUCUGAUCCGGUAUCCGACCAAAUUUUAAACUUUAUCCAACCGGAUAUUUUCCUGUAUCCGAAUCUGAUCUGAAACCCCAUUUUGGGUAAUUCGGAUCUUCGGAUCUGGGAAAUAUGCCCAUGUCUAAUUUUCGUGAUGGAGAUGGAUUUACCUCUAAAUUUUUACUCAAACUCUAAAUGAGAAAUCUUUUAAACCAUUCACUCGAACUACCCCCGGAAUUUAUUUAUUUUUUACCGUGACGUUUGCGUAACCGAUACCGUACAGGCAAAAGAGAGUCGAGCUUUCUUAUAACCUUCCAGAUGACUUGAAGGGUUUUAGGUUUCUCAAGCGAUUAGAGAGCUUCUCUCUCUCUCUCUCUCUCUCCAACGUUUUGACAAUGGUUCCUCGUCGAGUUUCCGACACAAAGGCGAUUGUCCGUAUCCUCACCCAAACAUUCAGGGCUUCGCAGCUGUCCGUCGCCUCUCUACUCGGAGUAGCUGGCUUCUUAUACGCCCUAAAGUCCGGUAGAUUCCGCAACCUAAAUCUCUUAUUCUCCGGUACAAGACAAGACGACGAAGAUGAUGAUGAUGAUGAUGAUGAUGCUAUGCUCGUACCGGGCCUUCAAAAUCUCGGCAACAAUUGCUUCCUCAACGUCAUCCUUCAGGCUCUCGCGAGCUGCAAAGACUUUCGGAGUUAUCUUCAAUGGGUUUUAGAUGAUGCGAGUGAAACUGAUGAACAGUUCCCUCUUACGCUUGCUUUGUCUGAUUUAUUACAAGAGCUCUGCACAGCUGGGAGAAGACAAUCUGUAUCUAGUCCUCGUCAAGUCAUGCUGGCAUUGACUCAUUAUGUCAGAAAUUUCAAUUUGACAUGCCAACAGGACGCAGCAGAAGCUCUUCUUCAUCUAAUAUCUUCUUUGCAAGAAGAGAUUGUUGUUUGCUAUCGUCCUACCAAAACUAGUAAUCUUUCGGAUAUAAUGUUUUCUCGCAACUUGAGGAUGGUUGCUGCGCCUAGUGAAGAAGGUCUCAAUGAUUUGAAGAGAUGGCAUAAACAUUUGCGUGGACCGUUCGAUGGGAUUCUUGGUAGUACGUUGAUGUGUCGAACUUGUUCUUCUCAGAUUUCGUUGGAGUUUCAGUUUUUCCAUACGUUGCCUCUUUCUCCUCUGCUAUAUAGUGGUAGUUCCAACAUUGUAUGUGUUACUGAAGGUGUUGGGAUGCACUUUGGAGAAUUGCUUGAAGAAGUUUCUUGGCGCGGAGAAAGUGGAAAACUACUUCUGCCAUAGAUGCUGGCACGUUGCUGCUGUGAAAUAUUCAUCUGCGAUGAGAGCAGCUGAGACAGAUAUCGAAAAGAUCAAGAACUGUGGUGGAGACGACAAAUGUGACUGUAAAGCUUCUCAUCAUCUUCAGAGAAUGCCAUGGUCAAACAGCUAUUCCUUUAUAUUAAAGCAAUUAACCAUUGCCCGUUUCCCAAAGCUUCUAUGCGUUCAAGUGCAACGUGCUUCAUUGAACAUGUUUGGAGAGUCGGUCAAGCUAUCG